rnacentral:rRNA from 1 species
AGUGAACGCUGGCGGUAGGCCUAACACAUGCAAGUCGAACGGCAGCACAGUAAGAGCUUGCUCUUACGGGUGGCGAGUGGCGGACGGGUGAGGAAUACAUCGGAAUCUACUUUUUCGUGGGGGAUAACGUAGGGAAACUUACGCUAAUACCGCAUACGACCUACGGGUGAAAGCAGGGGAUCUUCGGACCUUGCGCGAUUGAAUGAGCCGAUGUCGGAUUAGCUAGUUGGCGGGGUAAAGGCCCACCAAGGCGACGAUCCGUAGCUGGUCUGAGAGGAUGAUCAGACACACUGGAACUGAGACACGGUCCAGACUCCUACGGGAGGCAGCAGUGGGGAAUAUUGGACAAUGGGCGCAAGCCUGAUCCAGCCAUACCGCGUGGGUGAAGAAGGCCUUCGGGUUGUAAAGCCCUUUUGUUGAGAAAGAAAAGCAGCAGGUUAAUACCCCGCUGUUCUGACGGUACCCAAAGAAUAAGCACCGGCUAACUUCGUG